rnacentral:misc_RNA from 1 species
GAUGAAGAACGUAGUGAAAUGCGAUAAGUAAUGUGAAUUGCAGAAUUCCGUGAAUCAUCGAAUCUUUGAACGCAUAUUGCGCCCUCUGGUAUUCCGGGGGGCAUGCCUGUCCGAGCGUCAUUGCUGCCCUCAAGCACGGCUUGUGUGUUGGGCCUCCGUCCUCCUCCCGGGGGACGGGCCCGAAAGGCAGCGGCGGCACCGCGUCCGGUCCUCGAGCGUAUGGGGCUUCGUCACCCGCUCUUGUAGGCCCGGCCGGCGCUUGCCGACACAUCAAUCUUUUUUCCAGGUUGACCUCGGAUCAGGUAGGGAUACCCGCUGAACUUAAGCAUAUCAAUAAGCGGAGGA